UAGCUAGUAGGUGGGGUAAAGGCUCACCUAGGCGACGAUCCCUAGCUGGUCUGAGAGGAUGACCAGCCACACUGGAACUGAGACACGGUCCAGACUCCUACGGGAGGCAGCAGUGGGGAAUAUUGCACAAUGGGCGCAAGCCUGAUGCAGCCAUGCCGCGUGUAUGAAGAAGGCCUUCGGGUUGUAAAGUACUUUCAGCGAGGAGGAAGGGGUUGUGGUUAAUAACCGCAGUCAAGACGUACUCGCAGAAGAAGC
rnacentral:rRNA from 1 species